rnacentral:rRNA from 1 species
GAUGAACGCUGGCGGCGUGCCUAAUACAUGCAAGUCGAGCGAACAGACGAGGAGCUUGCUCCUUUGACGUUAGCGGCGGACGGGUGAGUAACACGUAGGUAACCUACCUAUAAGACUGGGAUAACUUCGGGAAACCGGAGCUAAUACCGGAUAAUAUUUCGAACCGCAUGGUUCGAUAGUGAAAGAUGGCUUUGCUAUCACUUAUAGAUGGACCUGCGCCGUAUUAGCUAGUUGGUAAGGUAACGGCUUACCAAGGCAACGAUACGUAGCCGACCUGAGAGGGGGAUCGGCCCAACGGGAACGGAGACCGGGUCCAAACCCCUACGGGAGGCAGCAGUAGGGAAUUUUCCGCAAGGGGCGAAAGCCUGACGGAGCAACGCCGCGGGAGUGAUGAAGGUUUUCGGAUCGUAAAACUCUUUUAUUAGGGAAGAAAAAACGUGUAAGUAACGGUGCACGUCUUGACGGUACCUAAUCAGAAAGCCACGGCUAACUACGU